AAAGAAUGCAUGAAUAGUAUCUCCCCGAAAAUAAAAGAUCUAAAAAUAUAUGAGGAUUUGAAACUAAUAUAAUAUUGUUGCAUUAAUAUGUAAAAAUAUAUUUCUAGGGGUGAAAGACCUUCACUUUUAUUGAUAUCUGGAUAAAUAUUAAAUAAAUUUAGUUUAAUUUAUAUUUACAAUGUGAUAAGAUAUUGUAAGCGGAAGUUAGUUUAUAUAAAAAUAGUGGUUAUUGAUUAAUAAUUAACAACAAUACGCCAGUAAUUAUACAUUUAUGUUUAUUAUUCCUUAAUAAUAUUUUAUUUUACCUUACACGCAUUAAAAUUAAUAAUGUAUAAAUCAGUACAUAGUAAUAAAUUUAAUUGAAGGAAUUCGGCAAAUAGCUUUUACGACUGUUUAUCAAAAACAUAGCCAGUAGGUAUUUAAUUAUUGGUGUGACCUGCCCAGUGAGUUUUUAACGGCCGCAGUACCCUGACUGUGCAAAGGUAGCAUAAUCACUUGGCUUUUAAUUGAAGUCUAGCAUGAAAGGAAAAACGUAUAAGACCUGUCUCCAUAAAUAAAUUUAUUGAAGUUGCUCUAUAAGGUGAAAAUACCUUAACAAUUAAAAAUAGACGAGAAGACCCUUAGAAUUUUAAUAAAAGCCAGGAACUAUAUAGUGGGUGAUUUUUGUUGGGGCAACAUUUUUUCAUAAAAUAAAAAAUAUCCAUUAAUAUAUAACGAAUGAGUAUAAUAAAGUAAAAAUUACCUAAGGGAUAACAGCAUAAUUUUAAGUAAAGAUUGUGACCUCGAUGUUGGACUAGGAGCUAUUAAGGCUAAUCGUUUUAAUAUAAUAGGUUCUGUUCGAACUUUAUUUCCUA
rnacentral:rRNA from 1 species